UACGUAGGCAGCAAGCGUUGUUCGGAGUUACUGGGCGUAAAGAGUGCGUAGGCGGUUUUUUAAGUUUGGUGUGAAAUCUCCCGGCUUAACUGGGAGGGUGCGCCGAAAACUGGAAGGCUCGAGGAUGGGAGAGGCAUGCGGAAUUCCUGGUGUAGCGGUGAAAUGCGUAGAUAUCAGGAGGAACACCUGCGGUGUAGACAGCAUGCUGGACCAUUUCUGACGCUGAGGCACGAAAGCGUGGGUAGCAAACAGG
rnacentral:rRNA from 1 species